GCUGUAAUCGUGGAUCAGCAUGCCACGGUGAAUACGUUCCCGGGUCUUGUACACACCGCCCGUCACACCAUGGGAGCCGGUAAUACCCGAAGUCAGUAGUCUAACCGCAAGGAGGACGCUGCCGAAGGUAGGAUUGGCGACUGGGGUGAAGUCGUAACAAGGUAGC
rnacentral:rRNA from 1 species